UUGACCUCAGAUCUGGUAGAUA
rnacentral:rRNA from 1 species